rnacentral:rRNA from 1 species
GGUUAAGCGACUAAGCGUACACGGUGGAUGCCCUGGCAGUCWSAGGCGAUGAAGGACGUGCUAAUCUGCGAUAAGCGUCGGUAAGGUGAUAUGAACCGUUAUAACCGGCGAUUUCCGAAUGGGGAAACCCAGUGUGUUUCGACACACUAUCAUUAACUGAAUCCAUAGGUUAAUGAGGCGAACCGGGGGAACUGAAACAUCUAAGUACCCCGAGGAAAAGAAAUCAACCGAGAUUCCCCCAGUAGCGGCGAGCGAACGGGGAGGAGCCCAGAGCCUGAAUCAGUGUGUGUGUUAGUGGAAGCGUCUGGAAAGGCGCGCGAUACAGGGUGACAGCCCCGUACACAAAAAUGCACAUGCUGUGAGCUCGAUGAGUAGGGCGGGACACGUGGUAUCCUGUCUGAAUAUGGGGGGACCAUCCUCCAAGGCUAAAUACUCCUGACUGACCGAUAGUGAACCAGUACCGUGAGGGAAAGGCGAAAAGAACCCCGGCGAGGGGAGUGAAAAAGAACCUGAAACCGUGUACGUACAAGCAGUGGGAGCACAGAGCAAUCUGUGUGACUGCGUACCUUUUGUAUAAUGGGUCAGCGACUUAUAUUCUGUAGCAAGGUUAACCGAAUAGGGGAGCCGAAGGGAAACCGAGUCUUAACUGGGCGUUAAGUUGCAGGGUAUAGACCCGAAACCCGGUGAUCUAGCCAUGGGCAGGUUGAAGGUUGGGUAACACUAACUGGAGGACCGAACCGACUAAUGUUGAAAAAUUAGCGGAUGACUUGUGGCUGGGGGUGAAAGGCCAAUCAAACCGGGAGAUAGCUGGUUCUCCCCGAAAGCUAUUUAGGUAGCGCCUCGUGAAUUCAUCUCCGGGGGUAGAGCACUGUUUCGGCAAGGGGGUCAUCCCGACUUACCAACCCGAUGCAAACUGCGAAUACCGGAGAAUGUUAUCACGGGAGACACACGGCGGGUGCUAACGUCCGUCGUGAAGAGGGAAACAACCCAGACCGCCAGCUAAGGUCCCAAAGUCAUGGUUAAGUGGGAAACGAUGUGGGAAGGCCCAGACAGCCAGGAUGUUGGCUUAGAAGCAGCCAUCAUUUAAAGAAAGCGUAAUAGCUCACUGGUCGAGUCGGCCUGCGCGGAAGAUGUAACGGGGCUAAACCAUGCACCGAAGCUGCGGCAGCGACACUGUGUGUUGUUGGGUAGGGGAGCGUUCUGUAAGCCUGUGAAGGUGUGCUGUGAGGCAUGCUGGAGGUAUCAGAAGUGCGAAUGCUGACAUAAGUAACGAUAAAGCGGGUGAAAAGCCCGCUCGCCGGAAGACCAAGGGUUCCUGUCCAACGUUAAUCGGGGCAGGGUGAGUCGACCCCUAAGGCGAGGCCGAAAGGCGUAGUCGAUGGGAAACAGGUUAAUAUUCCUGUACUUGGUGUUACUGCGAAGGGGGGACGGAGAAGGCUAUGUUGGCCGGGCGACGGUUGUCCCGGUUUAAGCGUGUAGGCUGGUUUUCCAGGCAAAUCCGGAAAAUCAAGGCUGAGGCGUGAUGACGAGGCACUACGGUGCUGAAGCAACAAAUGCCCUGCUUCCAGGAAAAGCCUCUAAGCAUCAGGUAACAUCAAAUCGUACCCCAAACCGACACAGGUGGUCAGGUAGAGAAUACCAAGGCGCUUGAGAGAACUCGGGUGAAGGAACUAGGCAAAAUGGUGCCGUAACUUCGGGAGAAGGCACGCUGAUAUGUAGGUGAAGUCCCUCGCGGAUGGAGCUGAAAUCAGUCGAAGAUACCAGCUGGCUGCAACUGUUUAUUAAAAACACAGCACUGUGCAAACACGAAAGUGGACGUAUACGGUGUGACGCCUGCCCGGUGCCGGAAGGUUAAUUGAUGGGGUCAGCGCAAGCGAAGCUCUUGAUCGAAGCCCCGGUAAACGGCGGCCGUAACUAUAACGGUCCUAAGGUAGCGAAAUUCCUUGUCGGGUAAGUUCCGACCUGCACGAAUGGCGUAAUGAUGGCCAGGCUGUCUCCACCCGAGACUCAGUGAAAUUGAACUCGCUGUGAAGAUGCAGUGUACCCGCGGCAAGACGGAAAGACCCCGUGAACCUUUACUAUAGCUUGACACUGAACAUUGAGCCUUGAUGUGUAGGAUAGGUGGGAGGCUUUGAAGUGUGGACGCCAGUCUGCAUGGAGCCGACCUUGAAAUACCACCCUUUAAUGUUUGAUGUUCUAACGUGGACCCGUGAUCCGGGUUGCGGACAGUGUCUGGUGGGUAGUUUGACUGGGGCGGUCUCCUCCUAAAGAGUAACGGAGGAGCACGAAGGUUGGCUAAUCCUGGUCGGACAUCAGGAGGUUAGUGCAAUGGCAUAAGCCAGCUUGACUGCGAGCGUGACGGCGCGAGCAGGUGCGAAAGCAGGUCAUAGUGAUCCGGUGGUUCUGAAUGGAAGGGMCAUCGCUCAACGGRUAAAAGGUACUCCGGGGAUAACAGGCUGAUACCGCCCAAGAGUUCAUAUCGACGGCGGUGUUUGGCACCUCGAUGUCGGCUCAUCACAUCCUGGGGCUGAAGUAGGUCCCAAGGGUAUGGCUGUUCGCCAUUUAAAGUGGUACGCGAGCUGGGUUUAGAACGUCGUGAGACAGUUCGGUCCCUAUCUGCCGUGGGCGCUGGAGAACUGAGGGGGGCUGCUCCGUAGWACGAGACGSACCGGWGUGGAYGCAUCACUGGUGUUCGGGUUGUCAUGCCAAUGGCACUGCCCGGUAGCUAAAUGCGGAAGAGAUAAGUGCUGAAAGCAUCUAAGCACGAAACUUGCCCCGAGAUGAGUUCUCCCUGACCCUUUAAGGGUCCUGAAGGAACGUUGAAGACGACGACGUUGAUAGGCCGGGUGUGUAAGCGCAGCGAUGCGUUGAGCUAACCGGUACUAAUGAACCGUGAGGCUUAACCUUACAACGCCGAAGGUGUUUUG